AGAAUUUUAAGUGAUAUAUAAAGUUUGAAGAUAUUCUUGGUUAAGGUUGUAUUGAAAGGUUUUAACGACUUAUUUCUACAUCAGCUGUACUACAUAAGUAGCACCAUGGGGAAUAUUGUCAAACUAGUUUUCUUGGUGUAUAUUUUGACCGUCUAUUACUGUGAAGCGGCGUGCUAUUACAAGAGUGUUUCGUCUGGUCUAGGGUUAGCGUGUUCGAUAGGAAGACAAUCCAUUGCACGUGGAGCAUCAGAACUUGUCGGGUGUGAUAAUUGUAGAUGUGUACUCCCUAGACUUAUACAGUGUUGUUCAAUGGGUAUGAGAAUAACAAGUCAUCCAGAAGAUUGUAAAGUAAUACAACAAGGGUGUACAGAAAUAGCUGUCAAGAUCAACGACGAGUCAAUACACUGUGUAGAGGGUGUAGCGGGAGUCGGACGAUGAUGGAAUUCUUGUCGCACACAUGUACACAUCCCACAUGCACAUAUGUAAUAAAAAAUAAAAUUGAAA